UUAAAAUUGAAGGAACAGAAAAAGAUUCCAUUGGGCCAAUAGAUAGCAAUGACUCCAUUAGUGACAGUGAAAGAUGUCCUACACAAUAACCUUCCUCUCCCUUGUCUCCCUCACACCAGCCACGAAGGUUUUCAAA